AUCGUGGCAGUAAAACCUAGUUCAUAAGAAACAUAGCAGUGUCUUGAGUAACAGCUGGUAUAUUAGCAAUCAAACGCGAGACGAGGUCAUAACUUUCUUCAUACUAAAUAAGUCACGGAUGUACAUAAAGAAAACAGACUGACAGACUAAAAAUAUUCAAAACGAUUGAGUAAUGUCCGUGAUAAAAAGGCAUCUGCUACGUAAUUAUUUACGUCACAAAAAUGAUUAAUGAAUCGCGGUAAGAAUUUGACAGUCACAUCUUAAUACAAAUCAGUUUAUCAAUAAUGAUUUUUAGACUCACAAAUGAAUCAUACCAUUUUUUGGCUUGGGAAACUCGAAUUCUUCAUGGAAAAUAACUCAAUAUUAUACUUAAGAAAUGCAAUAACGGUUGGUAAUAGUAAGAAAUCAAGCUCACAGCUUUCUAAUUAUUUAGGACUGACUACAAAAAUUUAUUCUUAACUUAUUGUGCCUCACAUAGAGUCCAGGUUUCAAUGAGGUGUAAUUCUUAUAAGUUUAUAUUAUUUACAUCAUUAUACUUUGAAACUGUAAAUGAAGAACAUUGAAGCGGUAUCAAAGCUGUUACUCGAAGACCAAAAAUUGUCUCUUAAACUCCUUUAAUAAAAUUUGACAGCGGUCGCUUAACGCAGCGACCACAAAUAGCAAAAUUAGGAUUAAAGAUGAAACGCUUAAGGUCUUUAACUCAAUCUGUAGAAAAAACACAAUUUUACAAGCAAACUGAAAUGUCAUUGUAGUGUAUAUAUUUUCUAUAACAUCUACUUUACUAUUUAAUUUAAGUUAUAUUUAAGCUCGAUUUACAACCUCAAGAUCGUCAGUUCAAAACUCACUUGGAAAUUUAUUUCUCAACAAACAAUUGACACUGCUACGAAAAAUUUAGGUAUCGUAAAGGUAGAGAAGGUAAAGAAAACUUUGUGGAAACAGGCAUGAUCCCAAAAUUAAUUGAUUGUUUUCAGGCUAAGCUAAGAAAAAAAGGCCUUAUAGAGGUAGUGGUAGUUUUACUGUAAUUGGAACUUUGUGUUACACUUUGUAACCUGCCGCCACCCACCACCGUGUUCACCGCCUUA